rnacentral:rRNA from 1 species
CGCGGUAAUACGUAGGGGGCUAGCGUUAUCCGGAUUUACUGGGCGUAAAGGGUGCGUAGGCGGUCUUUCAAGUCAGGAGUGAAAGGCUACGGCUCAACCGUAGUAAGCUCUUGAAACUGGGAGACUUGAGUGCAGGAGAGGAGAGUGGAAUUCCUAGUGUAGCGGUGAAAUGCGUAGAUAUUAGGAGGAACACCAGUUGCGAAGGCGGCUCUCUGGACUGUAACUGACGCUGAGGCACGAAAGCGUGGGGAGCAAACAGGAUUAGAUACCCUGGUAGUCCACGCUGUAAACGAUGAGUACUAGGUGUCGGGGGUUACCCCCUUCGGUGCCGCAGCUAACGCAUUAAGUACUCCGCCUGGGAAGUACGCUCGCAAGAGUGAAACUCAAAGGAAUGGACGGGGACCCGCACAAGUAGCGGAGCAUGUGGUUUAAUUCGAAGCAACGCGAAGAACCUUACCUAAGCUUGACAUCCCAAUGACAUCUCCUUAAUCGGAGAGUUCCCUUCGGGGACAUUGGUGACAGGUGGUGCAUGGUUGUCGUCAGCUCGUGU